CAGCGAAUCACCUGGGGAUCUUGUUAAAAGGCAGAUUCUGAUUGAGUAGGUCUGGGAUGGAGUCUGAGAUUCUGCAUUUCCAACAAGCUCCCAGGUGAUGCUGAU
rnacentral:pre_miRNA from 1 species